UCAGACAAUGUGAAAAUACUUUCACUUCAACCCCAUGAAGAUUACAUAGAAGAAAAUGCCAGAUGAAGUUCCUUAUUGUUUCUCAUUCACAGAAUUUAUUUCCACUAAGUUAUUAAAAAAAUGGUUCUGUUUCCAGAGGCCUCUCUCUGCCUGCCCAGAGACUGUACAUCUUCAGAGAUGAGCAAAACUCUGCACUCUGCAAAAUCAGCACCCUCUGUCUAAUCAAAAGUUAACUUGGCCCAGGUUUUAGUUUCUCUGUAAGUUUUGUUGGAAAGUAAUAUAAUAAAUCUUAUUACAAGAUACAGCUGAUUAUGUAUACAUUAUGUCUUUGGAGAAAUUUGCAUUUUAAGAGGAAGGUCAAGGAUGCCUUAAUUACAAACAUUGCAUUUUUGGUUAUUUAAAUAGUAUCUGGGAAAACGGUGAAGAUAUAUAGGAAGUUAAGAAAGAUACCUGUAUCUACCACGUGUGAAAGAUUAUCUCAGUAAAUAGAAUUGGCUACAUAUUCAUCUAUUAUAAUAAUACCAAAAAAGAAGAUAUAUAUCUUCAAAGCGUCACAAUUUUUGUAGUCAGCAAAAUGAAUGGCAAAGAUAAUGAGAGAAUAAAGAUACAAAAAUGAGUAUUUAAAAAUAGAAUUCCAAUGGGAAAACUGUUAAUUUUAAAAAUUAUAUGUAAAGAUGAGGUUGCUGUUAAGCAUUUUACACCAAUAGAGAUAUCAAUUGGAAUAUUUUAUGUGAAGAAAAGAAAUAAUGACUUAACUUUGUCAAUAAAGAAAGCA
rnacentral:lncRNA from 1 species